rnacentral:rRNA from 1 species
CUCCGGGUUGAUCCCGCCGGACCCGACUGCUAUCAGAGUGGGACUAAGCCAUGCGAGUCGACGUAGCAAUGCGUGGCGAACGGCUCAGUAACACGUAGUCAACAUGCCCAGGGGACGUGGAUAACCUCGGGAAACUGAGAAUAAACCACGAUAGGUCACGAUUUCUGGAAUGGAUCAUGGCCUAAAUCUACAUGGCCCCUGGAUUGGACUGCGGCCGAUCAGGCUGUUGGUGAGGUAAUGGCCCACCAAACCUAUAACCGGUACGGGCUCUGAGAGGAGAAGCCCGGAGAUGGGCACUGAGACAAGGGCCCAGGCCCUAUGGGGCGCAGCAGGCGCGAAACCUCUGCAAUAGGCGAAAGCCUGACAGGGUUACUCUGAGUGAUUUCCGCUAAGGGGAUCUUUUGGCACCUCUAAAAAUGGUGCAGAAUAAGGGGUGGGCAAGUCUGGUGUCAGCCGCCGCGGUAAUACCAGCACCCCGAGUGGUCGGGACGAUUAUUGGGCCUAAAGCAUCCGUAGCCGGUUCUACAAGUCUUCCGUUAAAUCCAGCCGCUCAACGGAUGGGCCGCGGAGGAUACUACAGGACUAGGAGGCGGGAGAGGCAAGCGGUACUCAGUGGGUAGGGGUAAAAUCCUUUGAUCCAUUGAAGACCACCAGUGGCGAAGGCGGCUUGCCAGAACGCGCUCGACGGUGAGGGAUGAAAGCUGGGGGAGCAAACCGGAUUAGAUACCCGGGUAGUCCCAGCUGUAAACGAUGCAGACUCGGUGAUGGGCUAGCCUUGUGCCAGCCCAGUGCCGCAGGGAAGCCGUUAAGUCUGCCGCCUGGGGAGUACGGUCGCAAGACUGAAACUUAAAGGAAUUGGCGGGGGAGCA